rnacentral:snRNA from 13 species
GUGCUCGCUUCAGCAGCACAUAUACUAAAAUUGGAACGAUACAGAGAAGAUUAGCAUGGCCCCUAAAAAAAAAAAAAAAGAAAGAAAAAAGAAAAACCUAUUUUU